rnacentral:rRNA from 1 species
CCUACGGGUGGCAGCAGUGGGGAAUAUUGGACAAUGGGCGAAAGCCUGAUCCAGCCAUGCCGCGUGUGUGAAGAAGGCCUUCGGGUUGUAAAGCACUUUCAGUGGGGAAGAAAGCCUUGGGGCUAAUACCCUCGAGGAAGGACAUCACCCACAGAAGAAGCACCGGCUAACUCCGUGCCAGCAGCCGCGGUAAUACGGGGGUGCGAGCGUUAAUCGGAAUUACUGGGCGUAAAGCGCGCGUAGGCGGUCUGAUAAGCCGGUUGUGAAAGCCCCGGGCUCAACCUGGGAACGGCAUCCGGAACUGUCAGGCUAGAGUGCAGGAGAGGAAGGUAGAAUUCCCGGUGUAGCGGUGAAAUGCGUAGAGAUCGGGAGGAAUACCAGUGGCGAAGGCAGCCUACUGGACUGACACUGACGCUGAGGUGCGAAAGCGUGGGUAGCAAACAGGAUUAGAUACCCUAGUAGUC